CAAAAUAACAAUGAACAUGAGCUCUUUAAACCUACUGAUAUUAAUAAAGAAAAACAUACAUGUAAUAACAUCGGAUACACAUACAACACAUACAUACAGACAGACAGCACACACACACAUAUAUAUUUAUAUAUAAAUUAAUACAUAGAUAGCACAUGCAGAAUAAAAGCUAAACAAGAUAUAUUUUAAAACAAAUGUCAAAUAUCAGCACAUAGUAGCACAAAGUAUUUGUAUAGGAGUAGCACAUGCAAAAUUAAACACUAUAAGUACAAACAAAAGACUGCAUGCAGCUUUAGCAAAGGUAAUGCAUAAGCAAAAGAAAUAAAUAGCUAAAUAAAAAUUAAAAAUAACAAAAAAUGCGAAAAGAUAAAAUAUUAAAAAAAACCAGCAGGCUUCCAGAUCGAGUUAUGGGGCAGCAAGUAAUUACAUUACUAGUAUAUACUAGAACCGCAUGUACAUUUUUCUGAAAAACACCAGAGAUAAAAUUUUUGAAUUGGCCG
rnacentral:lncRNA from 1 species